GAAAGUUCAAGAUCUUUCUCAGCUUCAGAGUCAUGACUGUUACAUUUGUUCCACACGUCUAGCUCUUGGCAAACACCACUCAUAAGAUCCUUUACUAGAAUGCGUUGGGUAGACACAUGCUUAUGCAGCAUAAUAAGCUCCUGCUUCAUUUCAACAGCCUCAUCAGAUAUCCUAAGGAAAGCACGAUACUUUGUAUGCAUAUCUCCACUCAAAUUCUCAACGGCAUCCUUUAGUCCCAAAAGCUCAGAACAAACUCUCCUGAUACCCUUUUCAGUGU
rnacentral:misc_RNA from 1 species